rnacentral:misc_RNA from 1 species
AACGCACAUUGCGCCCCUUGGUAUUCCGGGGGGCAUGCCUGUUCGAGCGUCAUCUACACCCUCAAGCUCUGCUUGGUGUUGGGCGUCUGUCCCGCCUCAGCGCGCGGACUCGCCCCAAAUCCAUUGGCAGCGGUCCUUGCCUCCUCUCGCGCAGCACAUUGCGCUUCUCGAGGGGCUCCGGCCCGCGUCCAACAAGAAAACAUUACCGUCUUUGACCUCGGAUCAGGUAGGGAUACCCGCUGAACUUAA